rnacentral:rRNA from 1 species
AACCAGACUCCUACGGGAGGCAGCAGUGGGGGAUAUUGCACAAUGGGGGAAACCCUGAUGCAGCGACGCCGCGUGGGUGAAGAAGCGCCUCGGCGCGUAAAGCCCUGUCAGCAGGGAAGAAAAUGACGGUACCUGAAGAAGAAGCCCCGGCUAACUACGUGCCAGCAGCCGCGGUAAUACGUAGGGGGCAAGCGUUAUCCGGAUUUACUGGGUGUAAAGGGGGCGCAGACGGCGAUGCAAGCCAGGAGUGAAAGCCAGGGGCCCAACCCCGGGACUGCUCUUGGAACUGCGUGGCUGGAGUGCAGGAGGGGCAGGCGGAAUUCCUGGUGUAGCGGUGAAAUGCGUAGAUAUCAGGAGGAACACCGGUGGCGAAGGCGGCCUGCUGGACUGCAACUGACGUUGAGGCCCGAAAGCGUGGGGAGCAAACAGGAUUAGAUACCCUAGUACAA